rnacentral:rRNA from 1 species
GACGAACGCUGGCGGCGUGCCUAAUACAUGCAAGUCGAGCGAACAUUUGAGAGCUUGCUCUCAGGAUGUUAGCGGCGGACGGGUGAGUAACACGUGGGCAACCUGCCUAUAAGACUGGGAUAACUUCGGGAAACCGGAGCUAAUACCGGAUAAUUCAUAUCUACUCAUGUAGAUAUGCUGAAAGACGGUUUACGCUGUCACUUAUAGAUGGGCCCGCGGCGCAUUAGCUAGUUGGUGAGGUAACGGCUCACCAAGGCCACGAUGCGUAGCCGACCUGAGAGGGUGAUCGGCC